GUAUUGAUUAUCAUGUUCAAACAUUCAUCACUUGGAAAAUAGACAAAAUGAAUGAAAACUCUAUACUGUCAUCUUCAUUGAAUUUGAGAUCC